rnacentral:rRNA from 1 species
AAUCAACGCUGGCGGCGUGCCCCAGACAUGCAAGUCGAACGCGAAAGGACCCCUUCGGGGCCGAGUAGAGUGGCGUCCGGGUGAGUAACACGUGGGUAAUCUACCUUCGGGUGGGGAAUAACGACCGGAAACGGUCGCUAAUACCGCAUAAUGCAGCGGCACCUAAUGGUGACAGUUGUUAAAGCGGGGGAUCNCAAGACCUCGCGCCUGAAGAGGAGCCCCGCGGCGGAUUAGCUAGUUGGCAGGGAACGGCCUACCAAGGCGACGAUCCGUAGCCGGCCUGAGAGGGCGGUCGGCCACACUGGCACUGACACACGGGCCAGACUCCUACGGGAGGGCAGCAGUCGGGAAUUUUGGGCAAUGGGCGAAAGCCUGACCCAGCAA